rnacentral:rRNA from 1 species
AACGAACGCUGGCGGCAGGCCUCAUACAUGCAAGUCGAGCGAUUAAAGCUCCUUCGGGAGUGUAUAAAGCGGCGAACGGGUGAGUAACAGGUGGAUGAUCUGCCUCCCGGUGGGGGAUAACGGCUGGAAACGGCCGCUAAUACCGCAUUCGAUUGUCGCACUGCGGUGCGAUAAAGAAAGGCGCUUUACAGCGUCGCCGGGAGAUGAGUCCGCCCCCAUUAGGCUAGUUGGCGGGAUAAUAGCCCACCAAGGCUUCGAUGGGUAGCCGAGCUGAGAGGUUGAUCGGCCACACUGGAACUGAGACACGGUCCAGACACCUACGGGUGGCUG